GUUGACCCCCUCCUCUACUA
rnacentral:tRNA from 1 species